AACCUUUACACUGCACGCCAGUGCGAUAAGGGGACUCCAAGUGCGAGGGCAUAUAGUCCUCGCUUUUCUGGACCGUAAGGAGGUCCAGGAACAAGGGCUGGGCAAGACCGGUGCCAGCCGCCGCGGUAAUACCGGCAGCCCAAGUGAUGGCCGCUCUUAUUGGGCCUAAAGCGUCCGUAGCUGGCCAGGCAAGUCCGUCGGGAAAUCCGCGUGCCCAACACGCGGGCGUCCGGUGGAAACUGCCUGGCUUGGGACCGGAAGACCAGAGGGGUACGUCCGGGGUAGGAGUGAAAUCCCGUAAUCCUGGACGGACCACCGGUGGCGAAAGCGCCUCUGGAAGACGGAUCCGACGGUGAGGGACGAAAGCUCGGGUCACGAACCGGAUUAGAUACCCGGGUAGUCCGAGCUGUAAACGAUGUCUGCUAGGUGUGACACAGGCUACGAGCCUGUGUUGUGCCGUAGGGAAGCCGUGAAGCAGACCGCCUGGGAAGUACGUCCGCAAGGAUGAAACUUAA
rnacentral:rRNA from 1 species